ensembl:lncRNA
GAGGGCAGAGGAGCGGCUGUGGGGCUUCGUGUGUCACACCGGGGAGUGCUUUGGGGACACUGCAGCAUCCCAGCCCCAUAGCCCCCAUGGCCCUAUAACCACUACAGCCCCAUCUCAUAGCCAUCCCAUAUCCAUAUCCCAUCCCAUAUCCCAUCCUGUAUCCAUAACCCUUCCAAUAUCCAAACCAUCAUAUCCAUCCCAAACCCAUACCCCAAAUCCAUCCCGUAUCCAUAUCCCAAAUCCAUCCCGUAUCCAAAUCCCAAAUCCAUCCCGUAUCCAUAUCCCAAAUCCAUCCUGUAUCCAUAGCCCAUCCCAUAUCCGUAUCCCCGUAUCCCAUCCCAUAUCUCAUCCCCUAUCCAUAUCCCAUCCCAACUCCAUGCCAAAUCUCUUUCUAUAUCCAUAUCACCUUAUCCAUCCCAUAACCAUCCCAAAUCCAUCUCAAAUCCAUAUCUCAUCCCAAACCGAUCCCAUCUCCUUAUCCAUCCCAUAUCAAUGUCCCAUCCCUUAUCCAAUCCCAUACCCCAUCCUAAAGCCAUCCCACAUCCAUACCCCCACAUCCCAUAUCCUAUCCCCAUCCUGUACCCCAUGUCCCAUAUCCAUUUCCAUCCCACAGCCUUCCUGAAUCCAUAUCCCCACAUCCAUCCCGUGUCCACCCCAUAUCCAUUCCAUAUACCUAUCCCAUCCUAUGAUCAUCCCAAUCCCAAUCCCAUCCCAUAUCCAUAUCCCGUCCCAACUCCACCCCAUAUCGUUCCCAUACCUUUGCCAAGUCUGUUCCGUACCCGUAUACCCAGUUCCUGCAUCCCAACCCCAAUCCCAAUCCCACACCUCAUUCCCAAUCCCACAUGCCAAUCCUGUAUCCCGCAUCCCAAUCCCUAUCCCGAAUCCCAAUGCCAAUCCCACAUCCCAGCCCCAUGUACCAUCCGUCAAUCCAUCGCAAUCCCAAAUCUCAUAUCCCAGUCCUAACCCCAAUCCCACACCCCCAAUCCCAAUCCCACACCCCUAAUCCCAAUCCCAACCCCUAUUGCAAUAGGGCGCACUCCGGGCCCCUCCCGCAGCUCUAUCCCGCCCCCGGCCUCUCAUUGGUCAGGUGCCGCUCUGUCCCACCCCCAGCCUCUCAUUGGUCAGGUGCAGCUCUAUCCCGCCGCCGGCCUCUCAUUGGCUGAGAUGCAGCUCCGUCCCACCCCCGGCCUCUCAUUGGCUGAGGUGCAGCUCCGUCCCACCCCCGGCCUCUCAUUGGCUGAGGUGCAGCUUCGUCCCGCCCCCAUCCUCACAGUGGUCAGACGCAGCUCCGUCCCGGCCCCGGACUCUCAUUGGCUGAGCUGCAGUUCCAUCCUGCCUUCAGCCUCUCAUUGGUCAGGUGCAGCUCCUUCCCCUCCCCGGCCUCUCAUUGGCUGACGCGCAGCCCAGUCCC